CACGUAGGGUGCGAGCGUUGUCCGGAAUUAUUGGGCGUAAAGAGCUCGUAGGCGGUGUGUCGCGUCGAUCGUGAAAACUUGGGGCUUAACCCUGAGCUUGCGGUCGAUACGGGCAUCACUUGAGUUCGGCAGGGGAGACUGGAAUUCCUGGUGUAGCGGUGAAAUGCGCAGAUAUCAGGAGGAACACCGGUGGCGAAGGCGGGUCUCUGGGCCGAUACUGACGCUGAGGAGCGAAAGCGUGGGGAGCAAACAGG
rnacentral:rRNA from 1 species